UGAUGAUGUUCCUCCUAUUGCCUUCAAGCCCGGCAUUAGGCUUUUAGGUCAUCAUAAAUUAAGAUUUGCUUUUUCUUCACUCAGAGAAUAUUN
rnacentral:snoRNA from 1 species